AUGUGGACAGCCCGGCAGAUUUCAGUGGCAAGACUUUUGUACAAUUACAGUGGCAGAUUUCAGAAAUUUGUAGAGCACAUGAUUUACAAGAACAAGAUAUUCUGUCAAGCCAUGGAUAUCAACAAUCAGUCAAGCAAAGAAAUAUUCAUGGGAGAUAUACAGGGAUCCACAAGAAUGUGCACCGUAUGGCACUACCCUUUUGUCAUUGAGCCACUAUCACAUUUUGGUCAGCAAUCAGUUCAAGCAAUUCUCGGCGCCUUUAGUCAGAAGCUGGAAUUUACAACUAAACGAACAUCAAGCAACAGAAGAAAGGGUGGUGAUCUCUUUUUCUUGGCACCAAGAUGCCAUACAAGCAUUGAGACAUCGGAAACACACAAGAAGUUUGUAUAUAAAUGA
rnacentral:rRNA from 1 species